rnacentral:lncRNA from 1 species
UUUGAACACUAAAAUAAAGAGGAAAUUAUAAAGAGUUGAGGUUCCCUUUGAUGAUUGUGGGAAAGUUUGCAUGCUGGCAUGCUGCAAAUACAAUGGAUUAAAAUAACGUAAUGUCCAACUAUUAUAAAUAAAUUUCUCUCUAUGGUUUUCAAGUGUGGAAUCCCAUCAAUGUCUACUAAUAUAAUUUGCCUUUUUCCUUUUGCUUUCGAGGCACACGACACCAAAGUGUUCCUUGUUCACUUUUGGCAACAAUUGUGGAAUUUGAUUUCAUCACAAUUGUCACUAAUUGUGCUUGGAUCCCAUCUAUUAUCAUCAUUAGUUGAGCCCAUAGGGCUUAAUCUCAUAAUUAUGUACAUAUCUGAGAUAUUUAAAGAUUUUGAUUCUAAAGUUUCCAAUCAAAAAUAUUGUUGAAUAAUUGCUACUCUAAAUUUGAAAUUUGAACCUCUCUAAGAGGUUGGAUUAAGCUCAAGACUGGUGGAGAAGCUAAGAGGUUUUGAAAAAUAUAUUCAAUACAAUCGAAUAUAUUAAUCAAGAUUUGGAAAUCAAAUUAGUUAUAAAUAAACGUGGUCGCUCGUUAAAAGUCUCACAUUGGCUAUAAAUAUGACAUAGAUAGUCAUUAUAAGGAUAGUGCAAACCUCAAUUCUCAAGUUACCUUUUGUGCAAACCUCAUGUAA